rnacentral:rRNA from 1 species
AGAGCGAACGUUAGCGGCGGGCCUAACACAUGCAAGUCGAACGAGAACGCUCCUUCGGGAGUUAUUAAAGUGGCGCACGGGUGAGGAACGCGUAGGUAAUUUACCCUUUGGCGGGGGACAACAUUCCGAAAGGAAUGCUAAUACCGCGUAAGACCACGCUCACUACGGUGAAAGUGGUUAAAGGUGCCUCAAAGCACCACCAAAGGAUGAGCCUGCGUCCCAUCAGCUUGUUGGUGAGGUAAUGGCUCACCAAGGCGAAGACGGGUAGCUGGUCUGAGAGGAUGAUCAGCCACACUGGCACUGGAACACGGGCCAGACUCCUACGGGAGGCAGCAGUGAGGAAUAUUGGGCAAUGGGCGAAAGCCUGACCCAGCCACGCCGCGUGUGUGAUGAAGGCCUUCGGGUCGUAAAGCACUGUGGGGAGAGACGAACAUGCGCAGGAGGAAAUGCCUGCGUACUGACGGUACCUCCUUAGCAAGCACCGGCUAACUCUGUGCCAGCAGCCGCGGUAAUACAGAGGGUGCAAACGUUGCUCGGAUUUACUGGGCGUAAAGCGCGUGUAGGCGGACUCGCAAGUCGGUUGUGAAAUCCCUGGGCUUAACCUAGGAACUGCAUCCGAAACUGCUUGUCUUGAGUAAUGGAGAGGGUGGCGGAAUUCCCGGUGUAGAGGUGAAAUUCGUAGAUAUCGGGAGGAACAUCAGUGGCGAAGGCGGCCACCUGGACAUUUACUGACGCUGAGACGCGAAAGCGUGGGGAGCAAACAGGAUUAGAUACCCUGGUAGUCCACGCCGUAAACGAUGAGAACUAGGUGCAGCGGAUAUUGACCUCUGCUGUGCCGUAGCUAACGCGUUAAGUUCUCCGCCUGGGGAGUACGGCCGCAAGGCUA